UACGUAGGGUGCAAGCGUUGUCCGGAGUUAUUGGGCGUAAAGAGCUCGUAGGCGGUCUGUCGCGUCGGCUGUGAAAACCCGGGGCUCAACCCCGGGCCUGCAGUCGAUACGGGCAGACUAGAGUGCGGUAGGGGAGACUGGAAUUCCUGGUGUAGCGGUGAAAUGCGCAGAUAUCGGGAGGAACACCGGUGGCGAAGGCGGCGAUCUGGGUCGAUACUGACGCUGAGGUGCGAAAGCGUGGGGAGCAAACAGG
rnacentral:rRNA from 1 species